CUGCAUGUUAUAAACUCUUUUUCGGCUCCUUUUCCCCUUGGAGCAUGAAUACACCCAUAACAUGCUACAUUAAAAAAGAAAAAAGGAGUUUUCAGGGCCUCCAGCCUUGUAGUAAAGGUUGAGAGGUAGUAUAUUUCUCCUACAUUG